UCCCAAAAUGAAGUUCGCUGUAUUGUUUUCUUAUUAUAAAAAUAACACGUGCAUUCCCCAAAAUACUGGAAACAUAAACAAAGGAAAAACUCGCCCACAAUGCACCUUCCUCUCCCUGUUUCUACCAAUGAGUGCAGAACAGAAUCCUUCCAGAACCUUCUCUGUACUUAUAUCUCUCUGAUCUAAUUGGGGCAGGGUCCCUCCUCUGUCCACAUGAGGGCGGAGGUGGGUGCCUCACUGCCCUGUGAGGGGAAGUUCAAGAACCUGGUUUCAUAUUUGGGAAGCUGCCUGCUGGUUGGCACUUUCCUGCCUAACGGUUCACAGGUUGAAGCCCCAUGUUGGCGAGAGCCCCACCAAGCAAUCAGGCGACGUGCUGUCCUCUUCCUGAGGGCCAGCUCACCUGUCUUCACCUGACCGAUCUCCCACCGAACUCUGCUGGAGAUGUGAGCAGUUGCUUUACUGAGCAGUCAGUACUGGCUGGAACUCAGAACAAUGUUGAAACAGUGGAGACAGCAAGAAACUCGAUGAUGUUCUUGACUUCAAUGGGAGUGUGCCAUGGUUUACUGUUAAGCGGGACAUGUUGAACUAUGACAUGUUUCACUGUCUGUUUCAGGAGGCUUCCCUUUAUUCUGCUAAGGGAAAAAAAAAGGAGAUCUUUUAAGAACUCAGUAAUGGAUACUGAAUUGUAUCAAAGAUAUUUUCAGCAUUUGUUUACAUUAUAUUUUUCCUUUGACUUAUUAAUAUUAUAAAUUGUGAAUAUAUUUCUUAACAUUGAACCAUCCUUAUGCCCUUGAAAUAAAUUUUAUUUGGUAUUAUUCUAACAAUA